GGAAGAGUGUCACUUGAUUGAUUGGAAUGGAAGGAAACCUGGGUGGAAGGGUGCGCAGGAUAAGAGUGGGAAACUCUAUGCUCUGAGUCACCCUUUUGUCAUGGUCAGCGUCACCAAUUCCCACAAAGCCCACUUUAUUUCUUAGUUUUACACUUAUUAUUAUUGUGUUGUGAUUUUCUGAGAGAGUCAUCGAUCCAACGGGAGAGCUUUUCUGGGUCUCAAACUCUGAGCAGCAGAGAAGAAAGAAGCAGAGCAAAUUGAGCAAUGGAGGAUCUGCCCUCUGGUUACCGACCCAACGUUGGCGUUUGCCUCAUUAACUCUGAUAACCUGGUUUUCGUUGGAUCAAGAUUGAAUGUUCCGGGAGCAUGGCAGAU